GGUUUUAACAUACAUCGAGGACACUUUGAAUACUUAGUGAUGCCGUUUGGCCUCACCAAUGCACCCGCUGUAUUCCAGGCCAUGAUUAAUGAGUAUUGAGAG